UCUUUCCACUUUUCCAAUCAUCACAACUCUAGUUUUGGUUGAAAUAAACACACAGUUUACCGAUUUCCAUGUGAAAAUAUGGUGGCUCUAAACACGCUAAAAGUAUUGUUUUUUUAAAUGGAGUCUGGUGGGUUUAGCGCUAGCGACUUCAGAGCUGUUUCUGGUUAAACAGAAAGGUCUCAAAGAGGUUUUAAAAAGUCUAUCUCUGUAGGGAUCCUUUCCAUAAUGUUGUCAGACACUUAGAAUAAUAAUCUGAGUCUGUCAGCGGCAACAACAGAACUUCUAGUGGACCAUAUUGACGCUGAACAUUUGUCUCGUAGCGUUACAUUGCAGCCUGGUCUGUGGCUGCCGGUUACAGCGUUAACGCUUAACACUGGACCAGUUUAAAGAUUGUUGUUCCCAUCAGUCACUUAAACCCAUAAACAUAGGAAAAUAGGGUCCAUGUUGAAAAA